AGUGAACGCUGGCGGUAGGCCUAACACAUGCAAGUCGAACGGCAGCACAGUAAGAGCUUGCUCUUACGGGUGGCGAGUGGCGGACGGGUGAGGAAUACAUCGGAAUCUACUUUUUCGUGGGGGAUAACGCAGGGAAACUUACGCUAAUACCGCAUACGACCUACGGGUGAAAGCAGGGGAUUUUCGGACCUUGCGCGAUUGAAUGAGCCGAUGUCGGAUUAGCUAGUUGGCGGGGUAAAGGCCCACCAAGGCGACGAUCCGUAGCUGGUCUGAGAGGAUGAUCAGCCACACUGGAACUGAGACACGGUCCAGACUCCUACGGGAGGCAGCAGUGGGGAAUAUUGGACAAUGGGCGCAAGCCUGAUCCAGCCAUACCGCGUGGGUGAAGAAGGCCUUCGGGUUGUAAAGCCCUUCUGUUGGGAAAGAAAAGCAGCAGGUUAAUACCCCGCUGUUCUGACGGUACCCAAAGAAUAAGCACCGGCUAACUUCGUG
rnacentral:rRNA from 1 species